rnacentral:rRNA from 1 species
AUACGUAGGGGGCAAGCGUUAUCCGGAAUCAUUGGGCGUAAAGAGUGCGUAGGUGGUUUCUUAAGCGUGGGGUUUAAGGCUACGGCUUAAGCGUAGUUCGCCCCAUGAACUGGGAGACUUGAGUGCAGGAGGGGAAAGUGGCAUUCCUAGUGUAGCGGUGAAAUGCGUAGAUAUUAGGAGGAACACCAGUGGCGAAGGCGACUUUCGGGACUGUAACUGACACUGAGGCACGAAAGCGUGGGGAGCAAACAGGAUUAGAUACCCUGGUAGUCCACGCCGUAAACGAUGAGCACUAGUUGCUGGGUCCGAAUGGAUUCAGUGACGCAGUUAACGCAAUAAGUGCUCCGCCUGGGGAGUACGGUGGCAACACUAAAACUCAAAUGAAUUGGCGGGG